CACGCCGUAAACGAUGCUCACUGGCUGUAUGCGAUAUAUUGUAUGUGGCCAAGCGAAAGCGCUAAGUGAGCCACCUGGGGAGUACGCCGGCAACGGUGAAACUCAAAGGAAUUGACGGGGGCCCGCACAAGCGGAGGAACAUGUGGUUUAAUUCGAUGAUACGCGAGGAACCUUACCUGGGCUUAAAUGGGAGCAGACGGAUUUGGAAACAGGUCUUUCUUCGGACUGCUUUCAAGGUGC
rnacentral:rRNA from 1 species